ensembl:lncRNA
CUAAAUUCUAAAUCAAAAUACAUAUCUGAUAUGACUUAAUAUAUAAUUAGCAUAAAACAAACAAUAUAAUUCACAUUCUCAAGGAUUAAAGAUUAAAUGGAAAAAAAAUAAAAAUGAUUGCACAGCCAUCAGUUAGGUGGCGAUAUGUACUAAGCAUGUAAACAACUAAUGAACAAAAGAAGAAGAAAGAAACAGCUUGGCGCGCUUUUUCUUUGCUUCCGUUUCUUUAGUGACUCAUCCGAUUCAUCGCUCUGUUGAGAAUGUCUCGUUUAGUUCACGGGACAUUAUUGUUUGCUGGUACUGGAAUCUGCCUGUUUGACCACUCUCUAUAAUAAAGCCUGCAUUUGGAUCCUCAACUCUAUUGUCACGAUCCCUCCAUCGUAACAGAAUAAUCAGCCGAACAAGGAUCCAGCGGCUUUCCUGAACGACACUGGGCAGGUCACCGUAGCCACCAGAUCCAGUCUGUAUCCAGAUCACAUGGUGGAUCAGCACCUAGACAAACUCUUGACAGCCCUGGAUGUCAGCGGAGACCAGGACAACUAUGAGCCCCAGAGACAGAUCCUCUUCACCAAGACAGCCAUCGGGACAAGACCACAGGAACCAGACCAGUCCUCUGCACAAUCUGAUCUGUGUUGAAGCCUGCAAUUAAACUGCUGGGUUCGUCUGUUCAGAGAAGAACGAUGGAGUUUUGGUUCCUUCGACACACAAUUUUUCUGUUUAAUACUGUAAAGCUGUAGUGUAAAUACAGUGACUGGACUUGACUCCAGUUGAAAUGUAACACCUGGUUCAUUUAUUUUUUUCUGCCUUCUGCCUCAUUUUAAAGAUGUAAUUGUGAACAGUAUUAAUAUUUUUUUAAAUAUUUGUUUGCAAACAUUUUUUU